AAUGGGCGAAAGCCUGAUGCAGCAACGCCGCGUGAGCGAUGAAGGCCUUUGGGUCGUAAAGCUCUGUCCUUGGGGAAGAAACAAAUGACGGUACCCUUGGAGGAAGCCCCGGCUAACUACGUGCCAGCAGCCGCGGUAAUACGUAGGGGGCGAGCGUUAUCCGGAAUUAUUGGGCGUAAAGAGUGCGUAGGUGGCCAUGUAAGCGCGGGGUGAAAGGCAAUAGCUUAACUAUUGUAAGCCUUGCGAACUGUGUGGCUUGAGUGCAGGAGAGGAAAGUGGAAUUCCUAGUGUAGCGGUGAAAUGCGUAGAUAUUAGGAGGAACACCAGUGGCGAAGGCGACUUUCUGGACUGUAACUGACACUGAGGCACGAAAGCGUGGGGAGCAAA
rnacentral:rRNA from 1 species